rnacentral:rRNA from 1 species
GACGAACGCUGGCGGCGUGCUUAACACAUGCAAGUCGAACGGUUAAGCGCCUUCCUUUUUGGUGGGUGUGGAUGAGUGGCGAACGGGUGAGUAACACGUGAGUAACCUGCCCCCUUCUUCUGGAUAACCGCAUGAAAGUGUGGCUAAUACGGGAUAUUCUGGGUCUGUCGCAUGAUGGGUCUGGGAAAGAUAUUGUUUCGGUGGGGGGUGGGCUCGCGGCCUAUCAGCUUGUUGGUGGGGUGAUGGCCUACCAAGGCGGUGACGGGUAGCCGGCCUGGGAGGGUGGACGGUCACACUGGGACUGAGACACGGCCCAGACUCCUACGGGAGGCAGCAGUGGGGAAUAUUGCACAAUGGGCGCAAGCCUGAUGCAGCGACGCCGCGUGAGGGAUGGAGGCCUUCGGGUUGUGAACCUCUUUCGCCAGUGAAGCAGGCCUGCCUCGUUUGUGGGUGGGUUGACGGUAGCUGGAUAAGAAGCGCCGGCUAACUACGUG